AUUGAACGCUGGCGGCAGGCCUAACACAUGCAAGUCGAGCGGAUGAGAAGAGCUUGCUCUUCGAUUCAGCGGCGGACGGGUGAGUAAUGCCUAGGAAUCUGCCUGGUAGUGGGGGACAACGUUUCGAAAGGAACGCUAAUACCGCAUACGUCCUACGGGAGAAAGCAGGGGACCUUCGGGCCUUGCGCUAUCAGAUGAGCCUAGGCCGGAUUAGCUAGUUGGUGAGGUAAUGGCUCACCAAGGCGACGAUCCGUAACUGGUCUGAGAGGAUGAUCAGUCACACUGGAACUGAGACACGGUCCAGACUCCUACGGGAGGCAGCAGUGGGGAAUAUUGGACAAUGGGCGAAAGCCUGAUCCAGCCAUGCCGCGUGUGUGAAGAAGGUCUUCGGAUUGUAAAGCACUUUAAGUUGGGAGGAAGGGCAGUAAGUUAAUACCUUGCUGUUUUGACGUUACCGACAGAAUAAGCACCGGCUAACUCUGUGCCAGCAGCCGCAGUAAGAC
rnacentral:rRNA from 1 species